UUUUGACACGAACAGAAAAGCUUCUUUUACUUGAACUUAACUCUAGACAACCGAGUCCUUUGAUUUGCCAGAGCAACCUAGGGGAUAAUUCUUUUAUCGUGUGCUGCAUGUUAUAUUCUUUUAUUCUUUUACAACAUGCCACCUUUGUAUUUCUUUGCAUUUUCCCAGCAUCUUCUUCCUUGUGCCCUUAGCUCAUUCACUGUGGUUGUUUUGCAGAUACCAUGGUGAUCUGUAUUGGCAAAAUCUCUUGGGAGGAUCACAUGCGAAUGUUGCUGAGGUCAAUAUUCGAAAUAAGAAGCUUUCUUUCUUCUGGUUAUGUAUGGAGACGUGUUACCCCCUGUGGCAGCAUUGCUCGCUGUUGUGGAUGACAUCUUCUGCUCGUUUCAAGCACACCCAGAGGGUGUUGCUCUUCUCAAGCAGCAAUAUGGAUUGAACGAGACCACUAAUGAGGUCACCGCUGUCAUAGAAGCUCAUAGAACUCCAAGAGAUCGGAGGCCUUAUGCUGCCGAUCGAGUUAUGAAAGACAUCAGUGGAAAGUUUGCGUUUGUGCUCUUGCACAGCCCUCCAGAAUUCUAGUUGCUGAUGUUGGUGGAAGUGUCCCUUUCUUCUGGGGAAGUGAUUGCGAAGGCGAUCUUGUUCCCUCGGACGAUGCAGGAGUCAUAAACAAGGGCUGUGGGAAACUGUUGCACCAUUCCCUAAAGGAUGCUUCUUCAUCAGCUCUGGAGGUUUGUGGAGUUACAAGCACCCACCAAAUGAGGUGAAGUGAGUUCCUGGGGUGGAUAGCUUGGGCCGAGUGCGCGGUGCCACAUUCGAAGUGGUGCAGAGACUAAGAAGGAGUCUAACAUGCCUAGAGUUAGGAGUGCUAGCAAACUGGUCCUCGCACUACCUAGUCAUAUGGUUUGUGGCCCUUUCUUGGCCAGGCCAUUAGCUAUUGAAUGGCCUUCUGUUGCUUAUGAUCCAGUCACCCUUAUACAUCGACAAUUUUCAGCUCUAAUGGUCGAUUGCUUCAUGUUAUGAGUUUGAGAUGAUGUUGUUUUAUGCGGCUGUAUCUGUUGCUUAUAAAACCAAGCCUUUCCAGAACCUGAUCAUGCUAUUUACAAUAAUAUCAUUCUGGCAAUUCAUUAAGCCAUCGUGCAGAGUUCAUUCAAUGUAAUGUUUUUUCGCUUAGAUGUCUAUUAUGUAACUGUAAUCUACCAGUAAUGAUUAGAAAGAUUCUUGAUAUCCA